rnacentral:rRNA from 1 species
CCUACGGGAGGCAGCAGUGGGGAAUUUUGGACAAUGGGCGCAAGCCUGAUCCAGCAAUGCCGCGUGCAGGAUGAAGGCCUUCGGGUUGUAAACUGCUUUUGUACGGAACGAAACGGUCCUUUCUAAUACAAGGGGCUAAUGACGGUACCGUAAGAAUAAGCACCGGCUAACUACGUGCCAGCAGCCGCGGUAAUACGUAGGGUG